AUAAUAUGAUGUUUUUAUUUUUUUUUAUUUUUUUAUGAUGAUCACAUAAUAAUAACAAAAAAUGAGAAGAAAAAAA
rnacentral:ribozyme from 14 species